UACGUAGGGGGCAAGCGUUGUCCGGAUUUAUUGGGCGUAAAGAGCGUGUAGGCGGCCAUACAGGUCAGCUGUGAAAACUCGAGGCUCAACCUCGAGACGUCGGUUGAAACCGUAUGGCUAGAGUCCGGAAGAGGAGAGUGGAAUUCCCGGUGUAGCGGUGAAAUGCGCAGAUAUCGGGAAGAACACCCGUGGCGAAGGCGGCUCUCUGGGACGGUACUGACGCUGAGACGCGAAAGCGUGGGGAGCGAACGCGAG
rnacentral:rRNA from 1 species